UACAGAGGGGGCAAGCGUUGUUCGGAAUUACUGGGCGUAAAGGGCGCGUAGGCGGCCUUCUAAGUCGAACGUGAAAUCCCCGGGCUCAACCCGGGAACUGCGUCCGAUACUGGAAGGCUUGAAUCCGGGAGAGGGAUGUGGAAUUCCAGGUGUAGCGGUGAAAUGCGUAGAUAUCUGGAGGAACACCGGUGGCGAAGGCGACAUCCUGGACCGGCAUUGACGCUGAGGCGCGAAAGCCAGGGGAGCAAACGGGAUUAGAAACCCCCGUAGUCC
rnacentral:rRNA from 1 species